rnacentral:lncRNA from 1 species
AGAUUUUGUUGAUGUUUAUGAUUACACUUGAUGAAGAUUGAAACUUUAAAUUUAUGCGCAACUUUUGUUCAUUCUUCAGUCAAGAUGCAAGUUUGUAAGAAGAUGCACAAGCUCAUUUUUAGUUUGCUACGAAUGUUAUGAAAGAUUUGAUACGAUAAUUUAGCUCAGGAUGUUGGCUAUGUGCUUUUUAAAGAAAAUAUUGAAACUAAAAUUACGGGAUCAC